rfam:Thermosynechococcus elongatus BP-1 DNA, complete genome.
AUCGUUCAUCCCUCGUAGGACCUCAGUAAACGCUUUUCAGACCGAGUUGAAGUGUCAGCGUUGUUCCUUUGCGAGGGACGGAAGUAGGGAAAUAAAUCCCGAAGGAACGCGCC